rnacentral:rRNA from 1 species
CAGUAGCCACGGGAAUACGAAGGGUGCAAGCGUUACUCGGAAUUACUGGGCGUAAAGCGUGCGUAGGUGGUUGUUUAAGUCUGCUGUGAAAGCCCUGGGCUCAACCUGGGAAUUGCAGUGGAUACUGGGCAACUAGAGUAAGGUAGAGGAUAGUGGAAUUUCCGGUGUAGCAGUGAAAUGCGUAGAGAUCGGAAGGAACAUCUGUGGCGAAGGCGACUAUCUGGGCCAUUACUGACACUGAGGCACGAAAGCGUGGGGAGCAAACAGGAUUAGAUACCCCUGUAGUCCCUGUCUCUUAUAC